rnacentral:rRNA from 1 species
AUAAUGGGUCAGCGACUUAUAUUCUGUAGCAAGGUUAACCGAAUAGGGGAGCCGAAGGGAAACCGAGUCUUAACUGGGCGUUAAGUUGCAGGGUAUAGACCCGAAACCCGGUGAUCUAGCCAUGGGCAGGUUGAAGGUUGGGUAACACUAACUGGAGGACCGAACCGACUAAUGUUGAAAAAUUAGCGGAUGACUUGUGGCUGGGGGUGAAAGGCCAAUCAAACCGGGAGAUAGCUGGUUCUCCCCGAAAGCUAUUUAGGUAGCGCCUCGUGAAUUCAUCUCCGGGGGUAGAGCACUGUUUCGGCAAGGGGGUCAUCCCGACUUACCAACCCGAUGCAAACUGCGAAUACCGGAGAAUGUUAUCACGGGAGACACACGGCGGGUGCUAACGUCCGUCGUGAAGAGGGAAACAACCCAGACCGCCAGCUAAGGUCCCAAAGUCAUGGUUAAGUGGGAAACGAUGUGGGAAGGCCCAGACAGCCAGGAUGUUGGCUUAGAAGCAGCCAUCAUUUAAAGAAAGCGUAAUAGCUCACUGGUCGAGUCGGCCUGCGCGGAAGAUGUAACGGGGCUAAACCAUGCACCGAAGCUGCGGCAGCGACACUAUGUGUUGUUGGGUAGGGGAGCGUUCUGUAAGCCUGUGAAGGUGUACUGUGAGGUAUGCUGGAGGUAUCAGAAGUGCGAAUGCUGACAUAAGUAACGAUAAAGCGGGUGAAAAGCCCGCUCGCCGGAAGACCAAGGGUUCCUGUCCAACGUUAAUCGGGGCAGGGUGAGUCGACCCCUAAGGCGAGGCCGAAAGGCGUAGUCGAUGGGAAACAGGUUAAUAUUCCUGUACUUGGUGUUACUGCGAAGGGGGGACGGAGAAGGCUAUGUUGGCCGGGCGACGGUUGUCCCGGUUUAAGCGUGUAGGCUGGUUUUCCAGGCAAAUCCGGAAAAUCAAGGCUGAGGCGUGAUGACGAGGCACUACGGUGCUGAAGCAACAAAUGCCCUGCUUCCAGGAAAAGCCUCUAAGCAUCAGGUAACAUCAAAUCGUACCCCAAACCGACACAGGUGGUCAGGUAGAGAAUACCAAGGCGCUUGAGAGAACUCGGGUGAAGGAACUAGGCAAAAUGGUGCCGUAACUUCGGGAGAAGGCACGCUGAUAUGUAGGUGAAGUCCCUCGCGGAUGGAGCUGAAAUCAGUCGAAGAUACCAGCUGGCUGCAACUGU